UCAUGUUAAAUCGGGGUGUUAGCGGUGCCUUGUAACCCUCAAUCCGCUACAGAGGGGAUGAAAACUUGCCUGAGGGUCAGAGAUGUCCGGUCUGCCCCUGUAUAAGUGGUGUUGACGGUUUGGUCUUACGCAAUCGGAACCCGUGAACCUCGUCAGGGCGGGAACGCAGCAGCGAUAAGCGGUUAUUUCGAUGUGCCGUGAGGAAGCCAGACCUGAGCUAACUGUACAGGUAACGCGGGUGUCGCUGUCUCGACGGCAAGCACAUGG
rnacentral:SRP_RNA from 1 species